rfam:Planctomycetaceae bacterium SCGC AG-212-F19 AG-212-F19.16, whole genome shotgun sequence.
GAAAGCCCGUCGAGUAGCCUCUGACCAACGGCUGGAAGCGAGUCUUGCGUCGACUGGGGUAACUCAGGCGGCGAAGCGUAGACAGCGAGUCCGAAAGCCAUGCUAUGGAGCGUCGAAAGACCUUUCGCGGGAGCCUUUGCUUUUCUGAUACCAAGGGCCACGCUGGGACACUUUGCAGCGACAUUGACCGGCACGCUCGUCAGGCGCCGUCUUGAAUCA